UUUUAUGGUUUUUUCCUUUCCGGCCUCCUCCUCUUUUCACCCGCGGUUUCUUUUCAAUUCUUCCUCUAUGAAUUAUUUUUCUGUUUGCGCUGCAGUCUGCCGUCCAUGGAGAAGCAUUACAGGUGACGGAAAAUCACUAUGUAGAUGAAGGUUAUUCUGCAGUAAUCUGCCCGAGCUUCCUCUUUCUUCGUUCAGACUAGUCCAGUAACCAUGGAGAACCGAGGCUUGGAUUGAUCAAUCAUCACCUCAUGUUGAAGGUAAGAAUGAUUACAACAACUACGAAGUGAUCUGGCCCAAGGUUCGUGAUGUUAUUAUGAAUCCAGUUAAGAGCAAUCUAACUGAGAUGGCAACCACGCACCAACAUGUUACAUGCCAGUACUGUUAUGCUUGAUGUACCUCCUGCUUAGGGAACUGAAAGUCUUACUGGACGAAAGUUCGAUCUCCUUGGAUGUUUAAAUUUUAGUGUCUUGAAUGAUCAAAAUUAAGUCUCUUUGUGAACCAAGAGAUUUUUAUUUGAGAAAAAUACUGAAUCUAACCACAAUAAUGAGUUACUCU